UUUCACGGCCAUGCCGCCCGGAACACGGCCAAUCUUUUCAGAUCUCGGAAGCUAAGCAGGGUUGAGCCUGGCUAGUACUUGGAUAGGAGACCACCUAGGAAGACCAGGUGCUGUAGGUA
rnacentral:rRNA from 1 species